rnacentral:rRNA from 1 species
GACGAACGCUGGCGGCGUGCUUAACACAUGCAAGUCGAACGGGGUCCAUGCAGUAGCAAUACUGCGGAAGGCCUAGUGGCGAACGGGUGAGUAACACGUGAGGAACCUGCCCUGGUCUCUGGGAUAACAGUUGGAAACAGCCGCUAAUACCGGAUGACGUCGGACCGUCGCAUGGCGGACUGACGAAAGGGUUACCGGAUCAGGAGGGCCUCGCGUCCUAUCAGCUUGUUGGUGGGGUAACGGCCUACCAAGGCAUCGACGGGUAGCUGGUCUGAGAGGAUGAUCAGCCACACUGGGACUGAGACACGGCCCAGACUCCUACGGGAGGCAGCAGUGGGGAAUCUUGCGCAAUGGGCGAAAGCCUGACGCAGCAACGCCGCGUGCGGGAAGAAGGCCUCGG